rnacentral:rRNA from 1 species
UACGGAGGGUGCAAGCGUUAAUCGGAAUUACUGGGCGUAAAGCGUGCGCAGGCGGUUUGUUAAGUCUGCUGUGAAAUCCCCGAGCUCAACUUGGGAAUUGCAGUGGAUACUGGCAGGCUGGAGUAUGGUAGAGGAAGGUGGAAUUCCCGGUGUAGCAGUGAAAUGCGUAGAGAUCGGGAGGAACACCAGUGGCGAAGGCGGCCUUCUGGACCAAUACUGACGCUCAUGCACGAAAGCUAGGGGAGCAAACAGG